rnacentral:rRNA from 1 species
GAAACACGGACCAAGGAGUCUAUCGUGCGUGCAAGUCAAUNGGUGUCGAAUAACCCCAUGGGCGCAAUGAAAGGUNAAAGCCGGACCAGUUCCGGCAGAGAUGCGAUCCCGGGGUUGAACUCCCCGGGCGCAGCAUCGGCCCGUCCCGUCCGCGACGUCGGUGGGGCGGAGCAAGAGCACGUACGUUGGUACCCGAAAGAUGGUGAACUAUGCCUGGGCAGGGCGAGGCCAGAGGAAACUCUGGUGGAGGUCCGAAGCGAUUCUGACGUGCAAAUCGAUCGUCCGACCCGGGUAUAGGGGCGAAAGACUAAUCGAACCAUCUAGUAGCUGGUUCCCUCUGAAGUUUCCCUCAGGAUAGCUGGCGCUCGGUGAGACGCAGUCUCAUCCGGUAAAGCGAAUGAUUAGAGGCCUUGGGGCCGAAACGACCUCAACCUAUUCUCAAACUUUCAAUGGGUGCGAAGUCCCGCUUGCGUGACUGAAGCUGGGACGUGAGAAGGAUGCGAGUGCCUAGUGGGCCACUUUUGGUAAGCANAACUGGCGCUGUGGGANGANCCAAAAGCCGGGAUAAGGCGCCCGAUGCAGGACGCUCAUGAGAUCCCAUGAAAGNUGUUGNUUGCUACAGACAGCANGACGGUGGCCAUGGAAAUUCGGA